GGAGGGCCUGUGGCUCAGCGGCAGAGCAUCCGUUUGGCAUGCAGAAGGUCCCAGGUUCAAUCACCGGCAUCUCCA
rnacentral:tRNA from 1 species